ACCUCACCAGGUCCAGACAGAGUAAGGAUUGACAGAUUGAUAGCUCUUUCUUGAUUCUUUGGGUGGUGGUUCAUGGCCGUUCUUAGUUGGUGGAGUGAUUUGUCUGGUUAAUUCCGUUAACGAACGAGACCUUAACCUGCUAACUAGCUGCUUGGAUAUUGUCCUCGUUUGCUUCUUAGAGGGACUCCUGUGCUUCAAGCGUGGGGGAAGUUUAAGGCAAUAACAGGUCUGUGAUGCCCUUAGAUGUCCUGGGCUGCACGCGCGCUACACUGAUGCAUCCAUCGAGUUUGUCCUGUCCCGAAAGGGUUGGGUAAUCUUUAGUGUGCAUCGUGUCGGGGAUUGAUUUUUGCAAUUCUAAAUCAUGAACGAGGAAUGCCUAAUAUGCGCAAGUCAUCAGCUUGUGCAGAUUACGUCCCUGCCCUUUAUACACCC
rnacentral:rRNA from 1 species